AGUAUGAUAUGCUGGGAACAGAUAAAAGCUAGUUCUAGUUUCCAGCUUGACUCACUGACAUGGUUAAAUGGUGCAACAGUUAUGUGAUACCACUACAUGAAUGUGAUACUAUCACAAAAAGGUGAGGAUGUUGUGGAAUUAACGUUUAAAAGUUGGAUUUGCAGUAAAAAUGAUCAAACCACGUAAAGGAGAGCUCCUAUCAAAUAAAACAAACUCUAGAAGCAAU
rnacentral:misc_RNA from 1 species